rnacentral:rRNA from 1 species
AGUGAACGCUGGCGGUAGGCCUAACACAUGCAAGUCGAACGGCAGCACAGUAAGAGUUUGCUCUUACGGGUGGCGAGUGGCGGACGGGUGAGGAAUACAUCGGAAUCUACUUUUUCGUGGGGGAUAACGUAGGGAAACUUACGCUAAUACCGCAUACGACCUACGGGUGAAAGCAGGGGAUCUUCGGACCUUGCGCGAUUGAAUGAGCCGAUGUCGGAUUAGCUAGUUGGCGGGGUAAAGGCCCACCAAGGCGACGAUCCGUAGCUGGUCUGAGAGGAUGAUCAGCCACACUGGAACUGAGACACGGUCCAGACUCCUACGGGAGGCAGCAGUGGGGAAUAUUGGACAAUGGGCGCAAGCCUGAUCCAGCCAUACCGCGUGGGUGAAGAAGGCCUUCGGGUUGUAAAGCCCUUCUGUUGGGAAAGAAAAGCAGCAGGUUAAUACCCCGCUGUUCUGACGGUACCCAAAGAAUAAGCACCGGCUAACUUCGUG